rnacentral:pre_miRNA from 1 species
UUAACUCAUAUUUGUAUGGAGUUGGAACGUUUGCCGAUAGGGGCGCUGUUCCAAUUGCAUACAAAUUUGAGUUA